UAGAGGGCAAUAGAGAAAUACAGUUUGUGAUGCCUAAAGGAUUUGAAGCCCUGAUUAUGUGUUUACAGAAAAGAAAAAGAAGAAAAGAAGAGCCAGGAGGAUAGGUUGUUCAGUUUACUACCGGAGACCUGACUGUGACAGACCACCAAGAAAACAAAAUUUUCAAAGAGAGUAGAGAAGACCUUCUGCAGCACCUGCAAGUCUGUCCUUUUUUCUUCAGAGUUACGUAGGAUAACUUAGCCAGAACUUAUUGAUGUCUGCAUGUUCAGUGGACUCGGGAAUGGACUGGGAGAUGCGGAAACGUACUCUUUGGAAGGAACAGGAGAGGAGGCAUUUCAAAGAUCCUGCAGGUGACAAAGGGAGGAAGAAGAAGGUAUUCAAACAAUUGGAAACUUUUCAAUCAAGAAUGUGAAAUAAUAGGUUAAAUAGGGCUGAUAAUUCAUGGUGAUGAUCUGCUGACAGAAUAAAUAAAUCAUAGAAAGUGCCAAGACUACACAGGCAUUUGCUGUGGUGUCACCCACAUGAGGAACUUUCAUCAUAGUCUUUCUUCAAGUAUGUUCUCUCCUGUGGGUUCAUUAUUUUUCAGAGGAUGGGUCUUUCUGCCCUGCAGGGAUCUAUCUAUCACUGCUGACUCUCUGCAUCUUCUCCACAUGGAAGAAGUAAUUGGAUUGUAUUUUCUGCACACGACCAAGACAGCAGGGAAACCCACAGCUGUAAGCCAGAGAACUAAGCUGUCUCGAGAAGGCUGGGCUUGGGCCUGGGCUUUACCAGCAUGCCUAAUAAUGUCAUCAGGACUAAGAACAUGAGGAGGAUGAGGUGUCCUGUACCCAGCAGUGACACAUGCCAGUACAAACCAAAAUUGACUGGACCUCAGACAAAGGAGAAGAAGGGAAGUUGUUGAGGUCCCCACACAGAUGUCCGAUUACAAUUCCACCAAGGUGCAUUUGAAACUGUGUCACAGCUCAGCCUCUUCUCCCCAGUGCCCGUGGAGGCAGCUUCCAGCAUGACACAUCACAUCUUUGACUCACCAGGUAAGGCUGGGAUAUCAGUAUA